rnacentral:lncRNA from 1 species
AAAAAGGUCUUUUUAUUCGGGUUAUAAUGUAGGGACAUUGGUUAAGGUAGGGAAAUAUAGGCUAAGUGACUCAAAUAGAUCAAGAACACCAACCUUAUAGCUUCACUAAUCAAGUAUGGAAUAAAUUCCAUCUUCCUCCCAACUAUGUCACCAUAAACAACACAACUCAAGGGAUUUAAUCAUCACCAUACAAAACUAAACACUCUUUUAUGCUCUCCAUUUAUUUCCAACAAACGAAGUCGACUUUCAAACAAAUAUCUCAAUAUACACUCGACUUUAUACUUUUUUUUCUCUUUCUUUUUCUUUUCUUUUGUUUUUCUUUUUUUCUUCUUUCUUUUUUUUUCUUUUCUUUUCCUACUAACUUUUCUUAGUAGUCUUAUAAGAGUCAAUAGUAUCAUAAUAUCAUCCCUUCUUUUUCAUGAACCACUAUGAUAUUCACCACACAAAGAUUCCCAUAUACUACAUCACCCCCUAUCAUCCAGCUAAAGAAUAAAAGCUAAUUAGGCUCAAAGUGGAUAACAAAGGAUAAUUUUUUUAAGGACAGUGUUUGGGAAAAUAAUGUGGCUAACAAAAGAUGGCCUAAAAUCAUCUCCUAAUCCUGGGCACAACAGCAACCUCGACACAGAAACCAUGGCAAGUUCUAGAAGAUCACUACAUAUGCAUGACAAAACUCACAACAAAGAAUAAACUGUGUAUGAUAAACAGUUAUGGCUCAAAUCCUCACAGGUUUAUUCAACGUCUAAAAUUCAAGGUCAAAAUCACUCUAGAAUUAUGCAAAUUAGUUCCAAUUAUGCUUAAAUCAUCAAAGAAAAUCAAAUUCAAUUUUUUUUUCACAGAAAUCAUCAUUGGCAUCUCACCAGAAAUCUAAUGGAGCAAUAAUCAUCUCAAAAACAAAACAAACACACACCACCAACCAAGCAGGAUAAAACAAUAAAGCCAACAAAAAGAUAAAAGUGAUACACAUAUCUAUUCUCACCCCCCUCCCCCAAACUUAUUACAGAACAUAAGUUCGAAAAUAAGUUUGGAGGGAUGAUGAUAUGUGUGUCACUACUCACAGAAAAAUAUGCUCCAUGGUGGUGGUAUGAAUAAAGCGCGAGUUCCCUCAUCUUCCAAGCUCAACACUGCACUAAAACCCCAAACAAAACAACAAAACAAAAAGAAACAAAACGAAAUUAAAAGAAAGAAAAACAAAACAAAAACGGUUGGGUUACCUCCCAACAAGUGCUUAAUUUAACGUCUAGAGCUCGACGAUACCUCAAAAACUCAUGGAGGUCGGAAACAGCACUCUAACCAUUGGAAAGCUUUUCUACUCUUGGGUGCCCUCUCCACCAAAACACUUCUCUUGGCUCGGAC